AAAAUACUCGCCUUUUUAGGUAGCUCUAAAAUCAGUGAUCAAUGAGAAGGAAGUUCAAUGUGGGGGUUCAUUGAUCCAAGCUAAUAAAGUUUUAACAGCUGCAUAUUGUGUCUAUGGAGCUGAAACAGUAGAGGUAAUUUUGGGUGCACAUAAUUUGACAAUUGUGGAAGAUACUCAAGUACAUCUUGAGUCCUCUAACUUUACAGUUCAUGAAGAAUAUGAUGCCGAAAAUCACUUAAAUGAUAUUGCAGUAGUAUACUUAUCAGAAGAUGUAACUUUAACAGAUGCUAUCCAGACUAUACAAACCCCAUCCCUGGUAGAAAUUCUAGAUACGUAUGCUGACGAAACAGGUCUC